CCUAUCUGGUUGAUCCUGCCAGUAGCAUAUGCUUGUUUCAAAGGCUAAGCCAUGCAUGUCUAAGUACGAGCUGUGUUUACACGGCGAUACCGCGGACGGCUCAUUAAAUCAGUCGUGGUCCAAAUGGGUCCGUCCUCACGGUAUACUUGGAUAACCGUGGUAAUUCCAGAGCUAAUACAUGCAACUCAUAUCCCGAGGGGGCUUGUGCUCGCGCGCUUGUUUUCCCGACGGAAGCACUUAUUAGACCAAUGCCCUCCACGUGGUGGACCGCCUCGCUCGCCUUGCGCUUGCGUGUUUGCGGACCCUGCCCGUGGCCGUCCGCAUAAAUGGUGACUCUGGAUAAUUACCUGGACGAGCGCACGUAUCUGUUUGAGCAGAACGGCGCCGCCUCUUUCGAGUGUCUGCCUUAUCAGCCAUCAAUCGCUCGUUAUGUGCGAACGAUGGCCUUGACGGGUAACGGGGAAUCAGGGUUCGAUUCCGGAGAGGCAGCCUGAGAAACGGCUACCACGUCUAAGGACGGCAGCAGGCACGCAAAUUACCCAAUCCCAGAACUCUGGGGAGGUAGUGACGAAAAAUAACGAUGCGGGCGCUCCUUUUGGAGCCCCGCAAUCGGAAUGAGUAUGUCUUAAAUAACCUGUCGAGAACCCACUGAAGGGCAAGUCUGGUGCCAGCAGCCGCGGUAAUUCCAGCUUCAGUAGCAUCUAUUAAAGUUGCUGCGGUUAAAAGGCUCGCAGUUGGAGCCACUGGUGUUUGGUAUAUGGAGCAGCUGGACGUUGGGUUCCUUCGUGGCCCCGUCCUGUUGGUCUGCUCCUCACUCUAUGGCACUGAAUAUGGAAAAGCUCCUUUCCGUGGCCUGAACUUUGGCGUGUGGUCUUGCGGUUAUGGGGAGUGUUUCUCUAUCUCUCGAGCUCAUGUGUGUGUGCGCGUGCCUUUGUGGUGCGUUGUGCGCGCGUGUGUGUCUCGUUGGGGUGAGCCUCCUUCGCUUGUAUCACCUGUUCAUGUGCUUAACGGUGGAGCGACUUCUGUGUCACCUUGAGUAAAUCAUGGUGCUCAGAGCAGUCGUGCGGGCCUCGUGCCCUGUGAACAGUCUAUGCGGACUGAAUUGGUUUUGCAAGGCAUGACGAAACAUGACGUCGCUGCUGGUUGCGGACGGGGACCCGUUUGUAUGGGGGCGCGUCGGUGCUAUGCAAUUUGUGUGCGUGCAUGCCUCGUGUGUGCAUUGUGCGCGUUGCCUCUACCCGGCGUGUCCUCGGGUCUUGUCUUUGGUUUGCCAGUAGUGACGUAAUGAUCAAUGGAGACGGUAGCUGGCAUUGGUAUUGCGCGGCGAGAGGUGAAAUUCUGCGACCCCCGCAAGACCUCCUAAAGCGAAGGCGUCUGCCAAGGACGUGUUCACCAAUCAUGAACGAAAGUCAGAGGAUCGAAGGCGAUCAGAUACCGCCCUAGUUCUGACCCUAAACGAUGCCAACCAUCAAUCCGCGUGAGCACCCUAUCUAACGGGCUCGGCGGGCAGCUCCUUUCUACCGGGAAACCAGAGAUUUAUGGGUUCCGGGGGGAGUCUGGUUGCAAAGCUGAAACUUAAAGGAAUUGACGGAAAGGCACCACCAGGCGUGGAGCUGCGGCUUAAUUCGACUCAACACGGGCCAUCUUACACCAGUCACUCUGGCGAUUACAGAUUGAGCUCUUGUCUCGAUGUCAGUGGACGGUGGUGCAUGGCCGUUCUUAGUUGGUGGAGUGAUCUGUCUGGUUAAUUCCGAUAACGAACGAGACUCUCCUCUGCUAAUAGUCGGCUGGAUCUUAUAUUGCUGAGUUGCUCAUUGCCUCUCGUUGGCUGCUGCCGUUUUUUGGUUAGCUCCUUAUGCCGUUUGCUUUCCUAACCUGCGUGUGUCUUGGUACCAUGUGGGCGCUUUGUGUGUUCGUGGCUCUCGGGUCACUGCGCGCGGGCGUUUCAUGUGCUCUGCUGGGCGCGCGUAUGGCACAUGGGGGUGGCGGUUGGGGCGCCGCGGUGGUGUGUCGCGGGUGUGCGUAUGGCACUCCAAGUCCGUCGCUCACGCCCGAUAUUGCGGGUUGUGUGGUACAAGUUCUUCUUAGAGAGAUUGACGGCUCUGAAGCCGUACGAGAAUGAGAGCAAUAACAGGUCUGUGAUGCCCUCAGAUGCCCUGGGCCGCCACGCGCGCUACAAUGCUGGACACAGCAGGUCUAGCCUGCUCCGAGAGGAGCGGGUAACCCUGUCAAAGUCCUGAGUUGUGUUUCGGGCMCCACACUCUUGUGGUGCAUUUGGGGCGUGCUUGGGCCUUGGGGCAUUGCAAUUCUUUCCCACAAACAAAGGAAUGCCUUUGUAGUGGCGAGUCACUGAGCUCGCUGUGACUCUAGUCCCUGCCCUUUGUACACACCGCCCGUCGCUACUACCGAUUGGGUGUACCAGUGAGAACCUUGACUGGCGUCCGUGCCUUGCGCCACCUGGGUCUGACGGAAAGAGGCUCGAACUGGUGCACUUAGAGGAAGUAAAAGUCGUAACAAGGUUUCCGUAGGUGAACUGCGGAAGGAUCAUUA
rnacentral:rRNA from 1 species